GCGCCGAGACGGUCUGGUGCCGGCGCGCUUCCUCAGCAUCAUGUCGCACCUAACGCUCUGCCUGGCCCUGCUGAUGGCCCGGGAGGACAACGUGGAGGCGUGCCUGCCGUUUGAGUACAGCCCAGACGAGUUCGGCGCCAAGGACACCCAGCUGGUCGUCGGCCUUAGUCUGGCCGUAGCGCUGAUGCUGUU